GCACUAGUAGCUCAGUUGGAUAGAGUUACGGACUUCGAAUCCGGAGGUCGCAGGUUCGACUCCUGUCUGGUGCA
rnacentral:tRNA from 1 species